UUGCUUCCACAGCACUCAUACAAAAAUUGGAAUGAUAGAGAAGAUGAGCAUGGCCCUAAGCAAGGAUGACACAAAAAUCCAUAAAGUGUUCCAUAGUAAA
rnacentral:snRNA from 1 species